AAAUCAAAUAAGAUUUUAAUCUCACUUAAUUUAUCUUAAUAUAACUAAUAAAAACAGGGAGAUUACAACUUAGCGAGUUUCAUUAUCCAUUUUAGAAAGGUUUUAAGAUCACCUAAAUUCUCAUUUUAAAAAGUUUAAUUUGUUUUAGUAAUCUAAAAAGCCUUAGUUUAGCCAGUUUAAUUGGGGCCAAUUAUUCCCUAUUAAACAAAUGUAAAACAUCAUAACUAGUUAUUUGUAAUACAGUAUUUGGUUAGUAAAUGAGGGCAUUCUUAAAACUGACAAAGAGGAAAUAAAGUUAUUCUUUAAUCAUUUGGCUUAAGAUUUAAUUGUAGAUUAUAUUCAAUGUUUAAUUUUUAUUUUUGAGGGUUUUCUUCUGUUUAAGUAAAAAGAUCUCUUCUUUUGUUAGGAUAUGUCAGCCACGUUGGGAUGUCAGAGGAACUGGUUCUGACUUGGAGCAAGCAAAGGAACUGUCCUUCUGUGUACGGACUGCUUAAGAAUAGUCAACUCACCACGUGCCUUGUUAGUAAAUGAGUCUACUUGUGAACUUGAAGAUCAUCGUAAUUUCUUUUGUUGAUUUUUGUACAGAUUUUGUUUGGUGAAAUGUUUUUAUGAUUUUUUUUAAUUUGGGGGGCCUUUUUUCCUUUUUUUUAAAAGAAGACAAAAAACAAUCAUAUUUUGUUGCCUCCUAAAUAACAAAAAAAAAGUAUGACAUAUUGGUUAAUAAAGGCUGCCUGUUGAAAUCUCCUCUGCUUUAAUAUAACCUAGAAGAAUAAAGGUCAUUACGGCAGGACAGCUCCACACUUUGCAUAAUUGAGGGCCAUGUUCAGCUACAGCUCACUGCUAGAGCAGAUGGACGCAUGAUGUUUCCAUCUCAUUUAAGGAACAAUAAAUGUGAAGGUGUUAGG